rnacentral:rRNA from 1 species
UACGUAGGGUGCGAGCGUUAAUCGGAAUUACUGGGCGUAAAGCGUGCGCAGGCGGCUUUGCAAGACAGAUGUGAAAUCCCCGGGCUCAACCUGGGAAUUGCGCUUGUGACUGCAAAGCUGGAGUGCGGCAGAGGGGGAUGGAAUUCCGCGUGUAGCAGUGAAAUGCGUAGAUAUGCGGAGGAACACCGAUGGCGAAGGCAAUCCCCUGGGCCUGCACUGACGCUCAUGCCCGAAAGCGUGGGGAGCAAACAGG